rnacentral:rRNA from 1 species
GAGUUUGAUUAUGGCUCAGGAUGAACGCUAGCGGGAGGCCUAACACAUGCAAGCCGAGCGGGAUUUGUUGGUUAGCUUGCUAACUAACAAUGAGAGCGGCGUACGGGUGCGUAACACGUGUGCAACCUGCCUUUAUCUGGGGGAUAGCCUUUCGAAAGGAAGAUUAAUACCCCAUAAUAUAUUGAUUGGCAUCAGUUAAUAUUGAAAGCUCCGGCGGAUAGAGAUGGGCACGCAUAAGAUUAGCUAGUUGGUGAGGUAACGGCUCACCAAGGCUGCGAUCUUUAGGGGGCCUGAGAGGGUGAUCCCCCACACUGGUACUGAGACACGGACCAGACUCCUACGGGAGGCAGCAGUGAGGAAUAUUGGACAAUGGGUGAGAGCCUGAUCCAGCCAUCCCGCGUGAAGGACUAAGGACCUAUGGUUUGUAAACUUCUUUUAUACAGGGAUAAACCUACUCUCGUGAGG